ensembl:snRNA U6 U6 spliceosomal RNA
GUGCUCGCUUCAGCAGCACAUAUACUAAAACUGGAACGAUACAGAGAAGAUUAGCAUGGCCCUUGCGCAAUGAUGACACGCAAUUCUGACCUCUCAACUCUA